rnacentral:rRNA from 1 species
UACGUAGGGGGCUAGCGUUGUCCGGAAUCAUUGGGCGUAAAGCGCGCGUAGGCGGCCAGAUAAGUCCGGUGUGAAAGUCACAGGCUCAACCUGUGAAUGCCGCUGGAAACUGUCUGGCUGGAGUCCGGAAGGGGCGAGUGGAAUUCCUGGUGUAGCGGUGAAAUGCGCAGAUAUCAGGAGGAACACCAAUGGCGAAGGCAGCUCGCUGGAACGGUACUGACGCUGAGGCGCGAAAGCGUGGGGAGCGAACAGG